AGUGAACGCUGGCGGUAGGCUUAACACAUGCAAGUCGAGCGGCAGCGCGGGGCAACCUGGCGGCGAGCGGCGGACGGGUGAGGAAUUCGUCGGAAUCUGCCUUUUUGUGGGGGAUAACGUAGGGAAACUUACGCUAAUACCGCAUACGACCUACGGGUGAAAGUGGGGGACCGCAAGGCCUCAUGCAGAAAGAUGAGCCGACGACCGAUUAGCUAGUUGGUAGGGUAAAGGCCUACCAAGGCGACGAUCGGUAGCUGGUCUGAGAGGAUGAUCAGCCACACUGGGACUGAGACACGGCCCAGACUCCUACGGGAGGCAGCAGUGGGGAAUAUUGGACAAUGGGCGCAAGCCUGAUCCAGCCAUGCCGCGUGUGUGAAGAAGGCCUUCGGGUUGUAAAGCACUUUUGUCCGGAAAGAAAUCUUCCAACUUAAUACGUUGGGAGGAUGACGGUACCGGAAGAAUAAGCAUUGGCUAACUUCGUGCCAGCAGCAGCCGCAGUAA
rnacentral:rRNA from 1 species